AUGCUUUCUUGGAUAACACAUAUCCUAAAAUUGGAGAAGAUUAACAUGGCCCCGGCAUAAGGAUGACACACAAAUUUGUGAAGCAUUUCAUAUUUUU
ensembl:snRNA U6 U6 spliceosomal RNA